rnacentral:ncRNA from 2 species
UCAAGAACCUGCGGAGACAUGUCAGGUCUGACCCACGAGGACGCCGAAGGUGCAAAUCUGGAACAGGCGAACCCAGAUGAAACUCUCAGGCAAAAGGACCCUGCUCCCGNN